rnacentral:rRNA from 1 species
UACGGGGGGAGCAAGCGUUGUUCGGAAUCACUGGGCGUAAAGGGAGUCUAGGCGGUUUGGUAAGUGGGAUGUGAAAUCCCCGGGCUCACCCCGGGACCUGCAUCCCAAGCUGCUGAGCUUGAGUACAGGAGAGGGUGGGGGAAUUCCAGGUGUAGCGGUGAAAUGCGUAGAUAUCUGGAGGAACACCGGUGGCGAAGGCGCCCACCUGGCCUGCUACUGACGCUGAAGCUCGAAAGCUAGGGGAGCAAACGGG